ACGAAGGUUUCCGGAUAUGAAUUAAAAAAGUCAUUCCAAGUUGAAAUGUGCAUAUUCAUGAGAAAGGCCGAUAGGAAUGAUCCUAGUGGCGCGUUGUUUCACGGCUCUGAAUCAACGAGGAGAGUGAAAGAGGCGAGGGAGUUAGGUGUACGGCGGCGACCAUAAAGCAAGAUUAAUGAGGCGAAAUACACUCCGGUAGGAAGCUACUAGGGUGUUGGCGCCAGCUGACCGCCCGGCUUGCACGGAUAUACUCACGAAAUGGAUUUACACGGAUGCGUCCACGAGCAAAACGUUCUGCGGAUUUCUCUCCUUCUAUCCUCUCUUUCUCGUGAUUCCUCUCUAUAGUCUUAAAUACCAUAGUCUGCCACCGCGAACCGGAUAAACAACAUCAAAGAGAGAGUGGGGGUGCGGUUUUAAUAAAACGAUCUUUAUACGACCAUAUGUAGACACGUAUAAUCGUAUUUUAUAACGUACGUUUAUUCUACAAUUUUCAAGAUCUAAAAGAGAAAGAAACAAUUUUUAAAUCAAGAUAAAUUAAUAAAUUAAUAAUCUUAGAUGCGAAGAUAAAAUGUUGGAAUAAACAAUUCCGUUCGCUUG